CCUUUGACGUUAGCGGCGGACGGGUGAGUAACACGUGGGUAACCUACCUAUAAGACUGGGAUAACUUCGGGAAACCGGAGCUAAUACCGGAUAAUAUUUCGAACCGCAUGGUUCGAUAGUGAAAGGUGGUUUUGCUAUCACUUAUAGAUGGACCCGCGCCGUAUUAGCUAGUUGGUAAGGUAACGGCUUACCAAGGCGACGAUACGUAGCCGACCUGAGAGGGUGAUCGGCCACACUGGAACUGAGACACGGUCCAGACUCCUACGGGAGGCAGCAGAC
rnacentral:rRNA from 1 species